AUUGAACGCUGGCGGCAGGCCUAACACAUGCAAGUCGAACGGUAACAGGAAACAGCUUGCUGUUUCGCUGACGAGUGGCGGACGGGUGAGUAAUGUCUGGGAAACUGCCUGAUGGAGGGGGAUAACUACUGGAAACGGUAGCUAAUACCGCAUAACGUCGCAAGACCAAAGGGGGGGACCUUCGGGCCUCUUGCCAUCGGAUGUGCACAGAUGGGAUUAGCUAGUAGGUGGGGUAACGGCUCACCUAGGCGACGAUCCCUAGCUGGUCUGAGGGGAUGACCAGCCACACUGGAACUGAGACACGGUCCAGACUCCUACGGGAGGCAGCAGUGGGGAAUAUUGCACAAUGGGCGCAAGCCUGAUGCAGCCAUGCCGCGUGUAUGAAGAAGGCCUUCGGGUUGUAAAGUACUUUCAGCGGGGAGGAAGGGAGUGAAGUUAAUACCUUUGCUCAUUGACGUUACCCGCAGAAGAAGCACCGGCUAACUCCGUGCCAGCAGCCGCAGUAA
rnacentral:rRNA from 1 species